rnacentral:lncRNA from 1 species
CCCAAGGACAGGUUGAGCCGACCCAAACACGGGCAGAAGCAUAACGGCUAGUUCUGCAGAAGUACUUUCUGUCCUUCCAACAGUGAGUAACGGCUAGUUUUUGAAUUCUAACCAUUGGGGCUUGUCCAAUGGAUGAAGAAAAUUAUUUAAAGUGGCACUAUUCAUCAGAUAGAACACCUUUUUUAAAGAAUAUCAAAGAGUACACAAGAAAGAGAAAGUGCCCUAAUCUUCUUCAUCCAAGUGCUUCAUUCAAGAGUCAAAAGAAAGUGGUUGAGCAGAUUCAAAGAAUCAUCAAGAGCUCCAUCCACCCUUGAAGAGUGAAGCAUCCUUGACAAAGAAGAGAGAAGUCACAUCAAGCGAUAAAUAUUCUCUAAACUCUUAUUUGUAGAUUAUAUUGUUAU